AUAUUGGACAAUGGGCGAAAGCCUGAUCCAGCCAUGCCGCGUGUGUGAAGAAGGUCUNNNGAUUGNACAGCACUUUAAGUUGGNAGGNAGGGCAGUAAGUUAAUACCUUGCUGUUUUGACGUUACCGACAGAAUAAGCACCGGCUAACUUCGUUCCAGCAGCCGCGGUAAUACGAAGGGUGCAAGCGUUAAUCGGAAUUACUGGGCGUAAAGCGCGCGUAGGUGGUUCGUUAAGUUGGAAGUGAAAGCCCCGGGCUUAACCUGGGAAUUGCUUUCAAAACUGACGAGCUAGAGUACGGUAGAGGGUAGUGGAAUUUCCUGUGUAGCGGUGAAAUGCGUAGAUAUAGGAAGGAACAUCAGUGGCGAAGGCGACUACCUGGACUGAUACCGACACUGAGGUGCGAAAGCGUGGGGAGCAAACAGG
rnacentral:rRNA from 1 species